UGAAAUCUGCAGGAAUAGAGAGUGGAGCAGUGUUCUUCACUUGCAUUCCACCUGGUCCUGGGCUCAGUGGCUCCACAAAGACAAGCAGAUUUGUACACAAGGAUUACAAACACUCCUCAGUGGCUACAAAAAAACACUCCAAAGAAGGGACCUACUUUACUCAGUUGCUGACAGCCACAGGGGUGGACUCGGGAGAACUGUGGCUGAAAACUGCUCUCUGACCAUCCUGGGGUGACUUCGUUAUUGAAGCAAUGACUUCGGUGUUGUGAGCUCAGAAGAUGAUGUGAAAGCCUGGCUUUGGCAAGCAAGACAGCUUGACUUGUAUCUUGGUAAAGCAGGACCCUCUUAAAUCUUUCUGCCUUUGCCCAAGGGUUCAGGUUUAUGUGUGUACUGCAUUAAUUAAAAGUUGGUUAGGAAACAAGACGGACACGGUGCAACACCAUUGCUUGUAUCACACUUUAUGCCAUGUGAGAGCUGACAACAAUCUAUUGGCAAAACCAAGAUGGGAAGGGACAAAUAAAGGUGCAGAAAUGAUGUUUCCAGUGUGAGGAAGAGGCAGCAUCUCUUGAUCUCUGAAUGUAGCGAGUAUUC